ACUCCUACGGGAGGCAGCAGUGGGGAAUUUUGGACAAUGGGCGAAAGCCUGAUCCAGCAAUGCCGCGUGAGUGAAGAAGGCCUUCGGGUUGUAAAGCUCUUUUGUCAGGGAAGAAACGGUGAAAGCUAAUAUCUUUUGCUAAUGACGGUACCUGAAGAAUAAGCACCGGCUAACUACGUGCCAGCAGCCGCGGUAAUACGUAGGGUGCACGCGUUAAUCGGAAUUACUGGGCGUAAAGCGUGCGCAGGCGGUUUUGUAAGUCUGAUGUGAAAUCCCCGGGCUCAACCUGGGAAUUGCAUUGGAGACUGCAAGGCUAGAAUCUGGCAGAGGGGGGUAGAAUUCCACGUGUAGCAGUGAAAUGCGUAGAUAUGUGGAGGAACACCGAUGGCGAAGGCAGCCCCCUGGGUCAAGAUUGACGCUCAUGCACGAAAGCGUGGGGAGCAAACAGGAGUAGAAACCCGAGUAGUCCCAUGAU
rnacentral:rRNA from 1 species